rnacentral:rRNA from 1 species
GACGAACGCUGGCGGCGUGCUUAACACAUGCAAGUCGAACGGAAAGGCCCCUUUGGGGGUACUCGAGUGGCGAACGGGUGAGUAACACGUGAGUAACCUGCCCUUGACUUCGGGAUAACUUCAGGAAACUGGGGCUAAUACCGGAUAGGAAUCCUUGCUGCAUGGUGGGGGUUGGAAAGCUUCGGCGGUUUUGGAUGGACUCGCGGCUUAUCAGCUUGUUGGUGGGGUAGUGGCUUACCAAGGCUUUGACGGGUAGCCGGCCUGAGAGGGCGACCGGCCACAUUGGGACUGAGAUACGGCCCAGACGCCUACGGGAGGCAGCAGUGGGGAAUCUUGCACAAUGGGCGGCAGCCUGAUGCAGCAACGCCGCGUGCGGGAUGACGGCCUUCGGGUUGUAAACCGCUUUCAGCAGGGGCGAAGCUUGUGGUGACGGUACCUGCAGAAGAAGCACCGGCUAACUACGUG